rnacentral:snRNA from 1 species
CUACUUGUUUCAGCAGUACAUAUACUAAUAUUGGAACAAUACGGAGAAGAUUAGCAUGACCCCUGUGCAAGGAUAAAACACAAAUUCAUGAAGUGUUCCCUAUUUGG